UCUCUACGAUACGCGGCUCUUUCUCUUCUCAAACGUGUAACAUAGUCUCUUCUUGUUUUUGGUGCUUUGAGUUGUUUUCUUAAUUUGCUAACACCUGUGUUUCAUGGGGAUCAACAAUAAACUUUGGGGGUUAAACAUUAUCUCUUCAGGUUUUGAUGGGAUCAACGAUAUAUUUUGUGUUAAAGAUUAUCUGUUCAGAACUGCUGACGCUUCUGUUUCAUUUGGUACGACAAAAAAAGCUGCUCGACGUGCUUACAGGUAACAUCGUGUCAUUCAUUGUGUUCCUUUGUCC